rnacentral:rRNA from 1 species
CCUACGGGUGGCAGCAGUGAGGAAUAUUGGUCAAUGGACGAGAGUCUGAACCAGCCAAGUAGCGUGAAGGAUGACUGCCCUAUGGGUUGUAAACUUCUUUUAUAUGGGAAUAAAAUGUUCCACGGUGGGGAUUUUGUAUGUACCAUAUGAAUAAGGAUCGGCUAACUCCGUGCCAGCAGCCGCGGUAAUACGGAGGAUCCGAGCGUUAUCCGGAUUUAUUGGGUUUAAAGGGAGCGUAGGUGGAUUGUUAAGUCAGUUGUGAAAGUUUGCGGCUCAACCGUAGAAUUGCAGUUGAAACUGGCAGUCUUGAAUACAGUAGAGGUGGGCGGAAUUCGUGGUGUAGCGGUGAAAUGCUUAGAUAUCACGAAGAACUCCGAUUGCGAAGGCAGUUCACUGGACUGCAACUGACACUGAGGCUCGAAAGUGUGGGUAUCAAACAGGAUUAGAUACCCUUGUAGUC